CCUACGGGAGGCAGCAGUGAGGAAUAUUGGUCAAUGGCCGGAAGGCUGAACCAGCCAUGCCGCGUGAAGGUCAGUGCCCUAUGGGCGUUAAACUUCUUUUGUGCGGGAGCAAUAAUGGUCACGUGUGGCCAGACGAGAGUACCGUACGAAUAAGCAUCGGCUAACUCCGUGCCAGCAGCCGCGGUAAUACGGGGGAUGCAAGCGUUAUCCGGAUUUAUUGGGGUUAAAGGGUGCGUAGGUUGUGAGGUAAGUCAGCGGUGAAAUGCCCCCGCUCAACGGGGUGAAGUGCCAUUGAUACUGCCUUGCUGGAAUGCGGAUGCCGUGGGAGGAAUGUGUGGUGUAGCGGUGAAAUGCAUAGAUAUCACACAGAACACCGAUUGCGAAGGCAUCUCACGAAUCCGCGAUUGACGCUGAUGCACGAAAGCGUGGGUAUCAAACAGGAUUAGAUACCCGUGUAGUC
rnacentral:rRNA from 1 species